UGUUGAUUGGUGGUACCUGAAGAGAGGUUUUCCGGGUUUCUGUUUCUUUAAUGAGGAUGAAACACACCUGGUUAACCUCUUUUCCAGUAUCAGUUCC
rnacentral:pre_miRNA from 1 species